rnacentral:rRNA from 1 species
CCUACGGGAGGCAGCAGUAGGGAAUCUUCGGCAAUGGGCGCAAGCCUGACCGAGCGAUGCCGCGUGGGCGAGGAAGGCCUUCGGGUUGUAAAGCCCUUUUGGCAGGGAAGAGCAAGGACUGUACCUGCAGAACAAGUCACGGCUAACUACGUGCCAGCAGCCGCGGUAAAACGUAGGUGGCAAGCGUUAUCCGGAAUCACUGGGCGUAAAGCGUGCGCAGGCGGCUUUGUAAGACGGAUGUGAAAUCCCUGGGCUUAACGUAGGAACUGCGUUCGUGACUGCAAAGCUAGAGUGCGGCAGAGGGGGGUGGAAUUCCUGGUGUAGCAGUAAAAUGCGUAGAGACCAGGAGGAACACCGAUGGCGAGGGCAGCCCCCUGGGUUGGCACUGACGCUCAUGCACGAAAGCGUGGGGAGCAAACAGGAUUAGAUCCCCCUGUAGU